CGUUUUUGCCUUUUCUACUGAAAAUUAGGCACUGUGUAUUUGGACAUGGCACAGAAGUGCUGCGAUGCGUUCUGCUGCACGCCUCCGUCCAGCGCUCCCUCAGAUCUUUCCUGCCUGUUUUUGUUCUUGCACAGCUGAUAGAACAAGAAGAAACACAGAGAUGAUGCACAGUGAUGCAUUAUGCACAGGGCUGCUGGCAGAAAUUUGAGGUGAGCAUAUUAAUUAUGAAUAAUAAAAGCACAAAGAAAAAGCUUCUUCCUGCAUCACAGGAGAACUUUUAACCUUCCAACUAAGGGCAUUUUUGUGUAUCUCACUGAAAAGCUAUUUUACAAAAUGCUUACUUUUUUUUUUUCCUUACAAAAGUAAAGAAAUACUAUUUCUGCAAUCCUUUUCCCCACCAAGACAGGCUUUUAAUCACCACUGGCAUUUAUAAUAUGGCAACUCUUAUGGCUCUAGAGAAACAACAAUCCAAAGGAGAAAAGUGUGACAUAUUUUGCCUGGAAAACGUUGUUACACUGACAAAGAAAUAUGAAGAACGUAUAUUAAUAUCCUGUCUCACAAUAUGGGGUAAAAGCAAAAAGAAAACCAGGAGAGAGAGGUGAAAUACAUACUUCUGCAAGAUGGUCAGUAAAAAAGAGGCAAAAUAAUUAUUUGCAAGACUUCAAUGAUUCCUACAUGCCUGAAGGAGGACAAGAAUAGGACUUUCUCCAGGAUUUGACAAUUGCUUGGCUCUGUGGAAUGUAGAUACCUUUGCCCAUUUGUAUGAGAACGUGUCCUUUGCUUUGGUUUCCCUCUGAGAGCUCAUAAGUGAAUACAUAGGAAGGCUUUCAGGACUUACCUCCUCCUGUAUUUGCACACAUACAGGAGAUGCACAUGCAGGAUAUGUAUCAGAACGAAUAAAAAGGUGUCAGCAACUGAGCAUUGCUGAGAGCAUCAUACGAGUAUGGAUGUUUGGUGAAAAUAAACACGCUCCUGUCUGUCUUGAAGGAAAUACAGCAGUGGCUUUUUUUUCCAUUCUCACCAUUCUCAAACACCGAAUAGCAUUCAGCUACAAGUGAGAAAUUGUCUGUGUGCAGGUGCUUGGCUUCAUUGAAAACAUACACUUUUCUUGGUGGCUGAGCUGUUCACCAUAUUCACAUCAGCCUACUAGAGGCAGCUCUGCCUCGCUUUUUUUCAUAUACUUGUAAUGAGAAGAGAUGAGCAGCCUGGCUGCCUACAAAGGUAGCAGUGUUUGUAAAACAACAGAAGAACAGCAGCACUGCAGGGCGCAGGCUGCCAUACACUGCUUCUGCUUUCUUACGACAACAAUCUUGUAACUUCAGCUUUGUGUUGCAGAAACUGUGGCUGUCCUGGAAGCAUCCCAUCCUUUUUUCACCAAGGGGGGCAAAAGAAGCGUCCAUCUCUAAAGGUCUGCUUCCGCUUCUUACCGAGGCAUGGUGCACUGCUGAAAUUGAAGACAAAUCCUGAAAGAUUUAGAUUGUAAUUUGUGAAACUGUUUAAAGUAUUGUGUGGAAACUGACUUUCGUAAUGCAAUCUGUCUACUUUUUCUCCAAACGUCACAAAAGAGAAUUAAAAUUUAAGUGCACUGCUAUGUUUUGCAGAAGAUUAAAAAUUACUGUUCUUUGAGCAGAUUCUAGCAGCAGUGAUGGAAAUUGCUUUAUGUACUCAAUGAUUUAUACUUCAUUGUAUAAUUUGUUUUAUUCCCACUGCAACUCAGCAGGAUUACAAAGGCACGUAUGAAUAAAUAUGAAUUUGAGAUGUUGCAACUGAGUGCAGGAGCAUAAUGAUGGUAAUUCUUCCCCGCAGACCAGGAAGCUUUAAACAUACAUUUCCCUCAACAGAACAGUUGGAUGUUAUCGAAAUGACUACUGUGCCUACAAGUGCCCUUUGCAGCAUCAUUCCCUCACUGAUCAAACCAUCACUGUUGGCCCAGCACACAAACCAGUGCAAAGUACUGCCCAGAAAGAAGCUUGCUGUUACCUGCCUAUGCAGUUCCCACAAAAGCUGCUGCUGAAAAUUCUCUCCUAUCAGAUGUUUCUGCACUGUGAAUGCUAAGGAAAUGCUAGGGAAUUUGACUGCAUGAUUUUUAAAGAAACCAACAGGAUCAUCAGAUUUACACAAUGAUUACAGUUCUGCUUGCUAAUAUUGAUCCUCCCUUCAAAGGAAAUGAAUGCAAAACAAGACUGGAGUUAUAAUACACCAAUAAUGUUUUGCUUUUCUGAAAAAGUAAUGAUAGCUGGUGCUUUUGUAUCUAUUUCCUUAUCAUCUCUGAAAUAUAAGUAGUUAAAACUCCAACAUAAGAAUAAAGAGGGAUGACAGAGGUGGCAAAGCACCUCGAUGUGGAUCUAAAUAUAACCAAGGUUGUUUAUAUCAGUGAGCUCUACCAAAGGAUAUGUGCUUAUGCGGCUUUCUUGGCUGGGGAGUCAGUUUGCAAUGCUCCCAUGUAUUGUAUCCUUUAUUGUUCGUAUUUCAAAGGUCAUUUUUGCAAGAUUCUAAACCAAUAAAUCAAAAGCUAAAUUAUUACCUCAGUAGCAGAAAUGGAGAAGCUGUAAUAUUGAGGUUGACUGAGUCUGUCAAGUAGAUGUUUAUUAUUAGAAGUAGGAUUAGAUUUCAUGUCAUCACUCCAAAUCUUGUACCCAAUCUUCUUGCACUGGCGACCUACCGUAAUGUACUGCAUGUCAAUGUGACCAUUCUGAAGUGGUUAAUACCCGGGGAGGAGCUAUGUCCUGAACUGCCAGGUGAAUGACUAAACAUUUCCUAAGGCUCACUCAAGACACUGAAGACAAAAUAUCUGUCGUUGUUUGUCACAGUUCAUAUUUCUGCUGCUUCUCAGACGUGCUGUGAUUCAUCUCUGAGGAAUACUUCAUAUACUGUAAUUUAUUUUUCUAUCACGACACUCGCAGUUUGCCAAAACAGCAAUUUCCCUUGUGCUGUCUGAGCAUUGCUAGCUCUUCAAUCAAAUGUAUUCUGCCUGUUUCCAUCCCUGCUCUCUGUCUCAAUUAUUGUUUUUGUGAAGAUAAGAAAACCCCAUUUUUACCACUGGAGAGCCAGGCUGCUUAGGUCACAAGAUUCUCUUGGCUUAAUCCCUGAGCAUGAAUCACGAACUCUCCCUACGAAGUACUGGCAUUCUUCAGAUGAUCAAGCCAGCUUACAAAGGCUUCCAGAGCUUUCCGCAUUAAUGAUCACCAUGUUUAAAGCAUCAAAAGCAGGAGCUGAUUAAGAAUUAAACUGUUUAAAACUGUUUUAAACUUUUCCCAUUUCCUCUGUUUCCUACACUUACGUGGCUUCAAAGUGUAAACAGCUGUGAUGCAACUCAUGUCAAAAGCAGUAAUAUGAAAAAUAUGAUGAAAAAGAUAAAUGAGACAAAAAUAUUUGUGUGAAAUACAAGAAACAGAGUUACACUUUCUGCAAUACAUGGCUCAGAAAUAAACUGUAUAUGCCCAUGUGGCUCGAGUUAACAAAAAGCUUUUCUCUCACGUGUAAUAUCAGAAAUGCUGGAGGUAGCCAAACAACCAUUCACAGAUGAUUUACAACCCCUGCUGAAAAAAAAAGUCAUGCACUAUUGAGACAUCACAGUAGAUGUCAUAUAAUUCUAUAGGCGUUAUGUGAAGGUAUAGAUACAAUGAAGACACCCCCCAAAAUUAUUUCUUGAGAUGUGAAAGUGGAAAACAGAAUAUUCAUUCCAGAUGCAGAGCACAGAGAAUUGCUGAGAUAAGACUGGACACUAGUGAGCACAUAACCCUGGAAACAUGAAGGUCCUGGGCAAUUCAAGACAGGUGUUGUAUUCCUGCACCACAUUCAACUACUAGAUCUGAUAAAAGGAGACCAAACUUGAGCCCAUUCACUUUGGCUACCAAUGAGAUUUGUGAAACUUUUACCAAAACAGCACUUCUGCAUAAAAAUGGAGGAAACUAUUUGAACAACAGUCCUUUCUUGUAUUAUUUCCAGAUGUGGUGAAAAACAUUAUUAAGACUAAUAAAUACAUUAUACAGUCA